GUAGGGAAUAUUAGUAAUGGGCGAAAGCCUGAACUAGCAACGCCGCGUGUGCGAAGAAGGCCUUCGGGUUGUAAAGCACUUUUUGAGAGGAUGAGGAAGGACGGUACUCUCAGAAUAAGUCUCGGCUAACUACGUGCCAGCAGCCGCGGUAACACGUAGGAGGCAAACGUUAUCCGGAUUUACUGGGCGUAAAGCGCGUGUAGGUGGUUUGGUAAGUAGGGCGUGAAAGCUCCUGGCUCAACUGGGAGAGGCCGUUCUAAACUGCCGAACUAGAGGAUGGUAGAGGGAGGUGGAAUUCCGGGUGUAGCGGUGGAAUGCGCAGAUAUCCGGAGGAACACCAGUGGCGGAAGCGGCCUCCUGGACCAUUCCUGACACUCAGGCGCGAAAGCUAGGGUAGCAAACGG
rnacentral:rRNA from 1 species